AAACACUUUGGCCAUGACAAAGUUUUCUCAAGGCUAAUUUCAGACUUAAAAGACCUGGAAGACAAUGGAAUAACUGUGGCAGAGAAAAAAGUUAAAGGGACUGUUUUGUGCAUUGCAGGGGACAAUUUGGGGUCUCAUAAUAUUGGUGGUUUUACAGAAAAUUUUAGUUUUUCUGAAUAUUUCUGCAGGUAUUGCCGGAUAACACGAGCAGAUUUUCAAACAGAUCCAAAUGCAUGUGGACCUCAGCGCACUCCUGAAAACUACCAAUCUGCAGUAGACAUUUUACAGUCUGAGGGACAACAAAACGUUGAAGAAAUGGAUGAUUCAGAGCUAAACAUUUCAAACAUUAGCAAUGCCAUUGAUGCUGUAUUACCUGAACUCCCAAUCGCAACUAAAAAAAUCUCUUGAGGACACCUUAAAAUCACUUGGAGUGGCGACCCCAAAAGAUUUCAGAUUUCUUCAGGAAUCGGAUCUGGGAGCUGUACUGAGGCCCAUUCAAGCCAGGAAAUUUAUUUCUGUUCUAAAGGAGACCACACAAAUUUCUGAAACCCCAGAGCAACCAGUCAGUUCGUCUCCAGGAUCUUUUCUGUCCCAGAGUUCUUCAUACUCCUCUCCCAGCACCUCCC